GAUGAACGCUGGCGGCGUGCCUAAUACAUGCAAGUCGAGCGAACGGACGAGAAGCUUGCUUCUCUGAUGUUAGCGGCGGACGGGUGAGUAACACGUGGAUAACCUACCUAUAAGACUGGGAUAACUUCGGGAAACCGGAGCUAAUACCGGAUAAUAUUUUGAACCGCAUGGUUCAAAAGUGAAAGACGGUCUUGCUGUCACUUAUAGAUGGAUCCGCGCUGCAUUAGCUAGUUGGUAAGGUAACGGCUUACCAAGGCAACGAUGCAUAGCCGACCUGAAAGGGUGAUCGGCCGCACGAGAGCUGAGACAGGGUCCAGGCUCCUACGGGAGGCAGCAGUAGGGAAUCUUCCGCAAUGGGCGAAAGCCUGACGGAGCAACGCCGCGUGAGUGAUGAAGGUCUUCGGAUCGUAAAACUCUGUUAUUAGGGAAGAACAUAUGUGUAAGUAACUGUGCACAUCUUGACGGUACCUAAUCAGAAAGCCACGGCUAACUACGUG
rnacentral:rRNA from 1 species